rnacentral:rRNA from 1 species
UUGCCCUAGUAACGGCGAGUGAAGCGGCAAGAGCUCAAAUUUGAAAUCUGGCUCCUCCGGGGUCCGAGUUGUAAUUUGCAGAGGAUGCUUCGGGUGCGGUCCCCGUCUAAGUACCCUGGAAUGGGUCGUCAUAGAGGGUGAGAAUCCCGUCUGGGACGGGUGGCCGUGUCCGUGUGAAGCUCCUUCGACGAGUCGAGUUGUUUGGGAAUGCAGCUCUAAAUGGGUGGUAAAUUUCAUCUAAAGCUAAAUAUUGGCCGGAGACCGAUAGCGCACAAGUAGAGUGAUCGAAAGAUGAAAAGCACUUUGAAAAGAGAGUUAAACAGCACGUGAAAUUGUUGAAAGGGAAGCGCUUGCGACCAGACUCGCCCGCGGGGGUUCAGCCGGUACUCGUACCGGUGUACUCCCCCGUGGGCGGGCCAGCGUCGGUUUGGGCGGCCGGUCAAAGGCCUCCGGAAUGUAUCGCCCUUCGGGGCGUCUUAUAGCCGGGGGUGCAAUGCGGCCAGCCUGGACCGAGGAACGCG